GACAGUACUAAUACCCAGGGAAACUGGUCAUCAGGCGAACUGCGGCGUUCUGCUGGCAAAACAUAGCUUCGGUUAUGUCAAUGGCUAUUGGAUUGGUCCAUGAAGCGAAAAAUAGUUUACUGUGUCACUCGUACCGAUAACCGCAUCAGGUCUUCUAGGUAAGUAGCCUAUGGCCAUUGAGGCAUGAUAGUUCAGGAAUUCGGCCAAUUAGAGCUGUAACUUCGGGAUAAAGCUUGGCUCUGAUGAAAAUCAGAACCGAUUGUUACGCGGAGAGCCCAACUGUUUAAUAAAAACGUAGUGUCGCGCUGUGGUAGUAUAGCCAGUGAACGCGACAUGAAUCCUGCUCAGUGCUGUGUCUGUUAAUAUGGUUCAAGCCAACGAAGCACCGGUAAAUAGCUGGGGUAACUAUGACUCUUAUCAAAGUAGCGAAAUACCUCGUCACUUAAUUAGUGACCUGCAUGAACGGAGCUAUGAGGUUCUCACUGUCCCAAACUGUCUCUCAGCGAACCAACUGUAGUGGGAACGGUCACUAGAUAUCCAGCGGGGAAAGAAGACCCUGUAGAGCUUCACUUUGGUCUAGUCUUGUAUAGUUCCUGCGGGGGUGUAGACUAGGUGGGAGAGCAAUCGAUUCUGAAAAACCACUACCCUGUUUGGAAUUAUGCUUACCUAUCACAAGGAAUAGGACUAGAUAGAAAGUUUGGCUGGGGCGGCACACCUUCGAAAGAGCAGCGAAGGUGUCCUAAGUUGAGCUCAGUGAGGACAGAAAUCU
rnacentral:ncRNA from 1 species